rnacentral:rRNA from 1 species
CCCUUAGAUGUUCUCGGCCGCACCCGCGCUACACUGAAAGAGGCAACGUGUUUGCCUGAUUCGAAAGAAUUGGGUAACCCCCUAAUCUCUUUCGUGCUGGGGAUUGAGGUUUGCAAUUAUCCUUCAUGAACGAGGAAUUCCCAGUAAGUGCGAGUCAUUAUCUCGCGCUGACUACGUCCCUGCCCUUUGUACACACCGCCCGUCGCUACUACCGAUUGAAUGAUUUAGUGAGGACUUCGGACUGAGUCCAAUGCGGCUUUCGGGCUGCGUUGGUAUUUCGGAAAGAUGUCCAAACUGUACCAUUUAGAGGAAGCAAAAGUCGUAACA